GGCUGGGGCUCAGCGGUGGAGCGCUUGCCUCGUGCACACGCAAGGCCCUGGGUUCGAACCUCAGCACCCG
rnacentral:tRNA from 1 species